GGGCUUAUAGUUAAACGGUAUAACAGGGCAUUCGCAUUGCUCAAUUCCGGGUUCAAUUCCCGGUAAGUCCA
rnacentral:tRNA from 1 species